UACGGAGGGGGCUAGCGUUGCUCGGAAUCACUGGGCGUAAAGCGCACGUAGGCGGCUUUCUAAGUCAGGGGUGAAAUCCUGGAGCUCAACUCCAGAACUGCCUUUGAUACUGGAGAGCUUGAGUCCGGAAGAGGUGAGUGGAACUCCGAGUGUAGAGGUGAAAUUCGUAGAUAUUCGGAAGAACACCAGUGGCGAAGGCGGCUCACUGGUCCGGUACUGACGCUGAGGUGCGAAAGCGUGGGGAGCAAACGGG
rnacentral:rRNA from 1 species